rnacentral:rRNA from 1 species
CUCUGAGACUAAGCCAUGCAUGUCUAAGUAUAAACAAAUUUGUACUGUAAAACUGCGGACGGCUCAUUAAAUCAGUUACAAUCUACUUGAUCGUAUAUUCAAAGAAUUAAUCGGGUAACCCUAGUAAUUCUAGAGCUAAUACGUGCAAAAAGCUCCGACCUCUUUUAACCGAGGGGAAAGAGUGUAUUUAUUAGGUAACUUAAAACCAAUCAGCCCAAAAGGCUGUUUUGUUGAUGAUUCAUAAUAACUUUGCAAAUCGCGGGCCAAUGUCUGCGAUGAUACAAACGAGUUUCUGACCUAUCAACUUUAGAUGGCAGGAUAGGGGCUUGCCAUGGUGACAACGGGUGACGGGGAAUUAGGGUUCGAUUCCGGAGAGGGAGCCUGAGAAACGGCUACCACUUCCAAGGAAGGCAGCAGG